rnacentral:rRNA from 1 species
UACGUAGGGUCCAAGCGUUUAUCCGGGAAUUACUGGGGCGUAAAGCGUGCGUAGGUGGCGUGUUAAGUGUGAUGUUAAAAACGUGGGGGCUCAACCCUGUCGGUGCAUCACAUACUGGCAUGCUAGAGGACGGCAGAGGCAAGUGGAAUUUGUAGUGUAGCAGUGAAAUGCGUAGAUAUUACAAGGAACACCAAUGGCGAAGGCAGCUUGCUGGGCCACUCCUGACACUGAGGUACGAAAGCGUGGGGGAGCGAACAGG